rnacentral:tRNA from 1 species
GUCGAGUUGCCAGAGUGGUUAAUGGGUAUGACUCGAAUAGUAUGGAUGAAUACGAUAUCAUAUGGCUUCGGCCGCGCAGGUUCAAAUCCUGCACUCGACG